GACGAACGCUGGCGGCGUGCUUAACACAUGCAAGUCGAACGGAAAGGCCCUGCUUUUGUGGGGUGCUCGAGUGGCGAACGGGUGAGUAACACGUGAGUAACCUGCCCUUGACUUUGGGAUAACUUCAGGAAACUGGGGCUAAUACCGGAUAGGAGCUCCUGCUGCAUGGUGGGGGUUGGAAAGUUUCGGCGGUUGGGGAUGGACUCGCGGCUUAUCAGCUUGUUGGUGGGGUAGUGGUUUACCCAGGCUUUGACGGGUAGCCGGCCUGAGAGGGUGACCGGCCACAUUGGGACUGAGAUACGGCCCAGAAUCCUACGGGAGGCAGCAGUGGGGAAGAUUGCACAAUGGGCGGAAGCCUGAUGCAGCAACGCCGCGUGCGGGAUGACGGCCUUCGGGUUGUAAACCGCUGUCGCCUGUGACGAAGCGUGAGUGACGGUAAUGGGUAAAGAAGCACCGGCUAACUACGUG
rnacentral:rRNA from 1 species